rnacentral:rRNA from 1 species
CCUACGGGCGGCAGCAGUGGGGAAUAUUGGACAAUGGGCGAAAGCCUGAUCCAGCCAUGCCGCGUGUGUGAAGAAGGCCUUCGGGUUGUAAAGCACUUUCAGUGGGGAAGAAAGCCUUGGGGCUAAUACCCUCGAGGAAGGACAUCACCCACAGAAGAAGCACCGGCUAACUCCGUGCCAGCAGCCGCGGUAAUACGGAGGGUGCGAGCGUUAAUCGGAAUUACUGGGCGUAAAGCGCGCGUAGGCGGUCUGAUAAGCCGGUUGUGAAAGCCCCGGGCUCAACCUGGGAACGGCAUCCGGAACUGUCCGGCUAGAGUGCAGGAGAGGAAGGUAGAAUUCCCGGUGUAGCGGUGAAAUGCGUAGAGAUCGGGAGGAAUACCAGUGGCGAAGGCGGCCUUCUGGACUGACACUGACGCUGAGGUGCGAAAGCGUGGGUAGCAAACAGGAUUAGAUACCCUUGUAGUC